GAGCUUAGUUCAGCAGAUAGCUAUAUGGUAAAUAAAAUGCUGAGAAGUGUAUAUAGAUAGCUGUCUUGGUCCAAGUUUAUUCAAAAUCGUGCAGGAGAAAUAUGUACAAGAUACCUCAAAAAUCGACAAAGAUAUCUUAAAUACUACAUCUUCCGAUGGUCUAGAAGAGUUCAUGCAUAAAGACUGUCAGAAAUAUAACAGCAGAAAGCCAUAUACAAAACCAGUUCAAACCAGUUCAAAGAAGCAAUGGCAAGCGGCAGAAAAUAAUCAAUUCAAGAGAAGAGG
rnacentral:lncRNA from 1 species